UGCGUAGGCGGUUUAUUAAGUCAGAUGUGAAAGCCCCGGGCUUAACCCGGGAACUGCAUUUGAUACUGGUAGACUAGAGUAUGGUAGAGGGGGGUAGAAUUCCUAGUGUAGCGGUGAAAUGCGUAGAUAUUAGGAGGAAUACCAGUGGCGAAGGCGGCCCCCUGGACCAAUACUGACGCUGAGGUACGAAAGCGUGGGUAGCGAACA
rnacentral:rRNA from 1 species